rnacentral:pre_miRNA from 1 species
UGCAUAAUUGCUGGAUCAUAUGGUAAGGGUAUGUUUAGUUUUUUAAGAAACUACCAAACUGUUUUCCAAAGUGGCUGUACCAUUUUGCAUUCCCACCAGCAAU